rnacentral:rRNA from 1 species
AAAUUGAAGAGUUUGAUCAUGGCUCAGAUUGAACGCUGGCGGCAGGCCUAACACAUGCAAGUCGAACGGUAACAGGAAGCAGCUUGCUGCUUCGCUGACGAGUGGCGGACGGGUGAGUAAUGUCUGGGAAACUGCCUGAUGGAGGGGGAUAACUACUGGAAACGGUAGCUAAUACCGCAUAACGUCGCAAGACCAAAGAGGGGGACCUUCGGGCCUCUUGCCAUCGGAUGUGCCCAGAUGGGAUUAGCUAGUAGGUGGGGUAACGGCUCACCUAGGCGACGAUCCCUAGCUGGUCUGAGAGGAUGACCAGCCACACUGGAACUGAGACACGGUCCAGACUCCUACGGGAGGCAGCAGUGGGGAAUAUUGCACAAUGGGCGCAAGCCUGAUGCAGCCAUGCCG